GAUGCUGGGAGACUGUAUCAUUUGACUUCCUCAGCACCCAGGGAAGUUUUGCCCUGAUUCUUUACUUUCCUCUGUCCUAUUUAGGCACAUGGUGGAAGGGAAGCUAAUGGAUUCUGCAGGCAUCAGGGUUGUGGCUAGUGGGGCACAACCUUAGUCUCUGCUCUUGUCCGCUGACUGAACACCACAGCCUUUACGGCCAUUUGGUUCAGCAGGCCGGUGGAAGACCGAGGCUGAGCCCGGGUUCAUAGCGCACGGCUUCACAUUUAAACACGGGAAAGAGGAAUUGCUGUCCAGCUGCACUUUCUCAUUUGGCAGGCGACCAGCCAUUUUCUCAGGAUUUGACAGAAUAUGAUCUCUCAUUUAACUGGCUUUCUAACACCGCCCCUGAGCCAGGCUGGAUUGAAUCAGAACCCUGUGCAAUCGUUGUCUUGGCUGAAGAUUCACACCUACAGUUCUUCCCCCAGAUUGUUCAGUGUGGUCACAGUGGAUGCCGAGAAAGCAAGCAGGAAACAACAUGCUUGCCAAGCUGAGAUGGGACUCGCUGCCGUUUCCAACAGGGCUGCCUCACUUCUGCUUUUAACAAUCCUCUACAGUCAUUAGUCUUUCAUUCAGUCUGUAAAUAAUUAAACACUUUGAAUGGUGCACAAUGCAAA